GACGAACGCUGGCGGCGUGCUUAACACAUGCAAGUCGAACGGAAAGGCCCUGCUUUUGUGGGGUGCUCGAGUGGCGAACGGGUGAGUAACACGUGAGUAACCUGCCCUUGACUUUGGGAUAACUUCAGGAAACUGGGGCUGAUACCGGAUAGGAGCUCCUGCUGCAUGGUGGGGGUUGGAAAGUUUCGGCGGUUGGGGAUGGACUCGCGGCUUAUCAGCUUGUUGGUGGGGUAGUGGCUUACCAAGGCUUUGACGGGUAGCCGGCCUGAGAGGGUGACCGGCCACAUUGGGACUGAGAUACGGCCCAGACUCCUACGGGAGGCAGCAGUGGGGAAUAUUGCACAAUGGGCGGAAGCCUGAUGCAGCAACGCCGCGUGCGGGAUGAAGGCCUUCGGGUUGUAAACCGCUUUCGCCUGUGACGAAGCGUGAGUGGCGGUAAUGGGUAAAGAAGCACCGGCUAACUACGUG
rnacentral:rRNA from 1 species